UACGGGGGGGGCAAGCGUUGUUCGGAAUGACUGGGCGUAAAGGGCUCGUAGGCGGCCAACUAAGUCAGACGUGAAAUCCCUCGGCUUAACCGGGGAACUGCGUCUGAUACUGGAUGGCUUGAAUCCGGGAGAGGGAUGCGGAAUUCCAGGUGUAGCGGUGAAAUGCGUAGAUAUCUGGAGGAACACCGGUGGCGAAGGCGGCAUCCUGGACCGGCAUUGACGCUGAGGAGCGAAAGCCAGGGGAGCAAACGGG
rnacentral:rRNA from 1 species